AGACAGACCCAGCCUUAAGGGCUAAGCAUGAUGUUGAUGUUCUAAGUGUUUCUGAAACUUUUCACUAUCAUGCCCCCUUAUACAAGCGAAGGAGCUCAGAUCCCAGUUGCACCCUGCUACAGACUAGAUCACAGCGGCUAUAAGGAGUCCCCGCAGCGCUCCAGCAUAUGUGAGAUCCCACCAAGAUUAGAGGAAUGCAUGAGGGAACCUGACAAGAAAUUUUUCAUUUUAAAAGAAGACCACUGAAAUCAAGGAAUGAAAGUCCAGAAUCACUAGUCACGUGAAAAUCUUGGCUAAGAGUAACUGACAAAGUGGAGUGGUUAUAUAGGCAAUUUGCUAUAUCUUCACCAACUCCCUCUGAAUUGCACCUGAAGAGAUGCCUUUUCCACAGAUUGAGUAAAAGAUUCAAGUUGAAGAUUCCCAAAGAUUCAGAUUAAGGUAUGGGAAGAAAACCCCGUAGUUGUCUAUCUUCUAAAAUGGAACAGUCCCAGUCUUUUUACUCUCUCCUCAUAUGGAAGCUGUUGCAUACCCCUCAUCAUUUUUGUUGCUUCUUUCUAUACCUUUUCCAAUUCUAAUGUAUCCUUGAGAUAGGACAACCAGAACUGCAUGCAGUAUUCAAGGUGUAGGUGUAACAUGCCUUUAUAAUAAUUGUUUUAUUAUCCACCCUUUCCUAAUGGUUCCUAACACUGUUAGGUUUUUUAUUCCCACUGACAUUGAGCAGAUGUUGUGAGCAAAGAGGUUUUCUUGAGCUUUUCCCAGCACUGUGCAUAAGCUGUAAUUCAGCAAUUUACUUAUUAGUGCCAAAAUUCAGCUAAAAUGUUUACCAUCCAGGAAAGGUGCAAAUGAGAACAGCACAUUCUCUUGAGAUUUGCUCUAACAGACGUUAGAAGAUUUCAGUUUUAUAACCAACGUAAGUGAUUUAAAUACAGAGAACCUGAUCUCAUUUUGUUGUUUAUAUUUCAAAAUUCUUUUCGUUCGUCUAACUUAUGUAUGGAAGGAUAAGUUUAACCUGUUUCCCAUCACCUUUUAAAGUAAAUCACAUUUAUACUCAACAGCAAAGGAAGUGAUUGUUUACAUGAUUUGAUAAAAUACAAUGCUGAGAUUAAAGUAUAAAUAGUACAAGUGAAUAAUCUUCAACAUUUAAACUUGACGUAACAGGCCCCAGAAGGGAUGAAUCAUCCAAACCAAACCCAGUUUGCUAAACAGGAGAAAGACAGUCUAGUAUGCUUUAUCUCAUCAAGUGUUACAUUUUACCUACUUUCAAAGGGUGGUCCUCAUACUUUUGAUUUCCCUCUCUCCUUUAUAAUCCAAACAUUGUUUAUUAACCCCGGUCAAAGGAUAAACAUUUGUAUGGUGUUCCAAAAGUCUCCCUUAAUGGCCAAACAUCAAGAGGUUUCAUUUUUCUGAAAGUUAAAAAAUCAGCAAUUGUGCAAAAACACUUGAGACAAAUUGCUCAAAGAAUUUUUAAUUCAUUUAUUACCUGUGCACAAGAGAAAUAACUACCAAUAAAAACUCAAAAGAUAUACAGUAUUUUUACAUGGUGGUUAAAAGUAAUUAGAAUAUCACAUGACACUGUCAGUGAAAGUAAUUCUUCCAAUUACAAAUCAUAAUGCAUGUUAGAAUCUCAAUGAGAGAAGCCAAAAAGCUUUAGAAGCAGUUUCAGAGCAUACAGUAGUGCUCCUUCAAUCUGCAAAAAGAUUAAGAUAAUUUACAGUCAAUCCUUGUGAAUACUGAGACAAUGUUACAAUGCAGCUUUCUGUACAGUUAGAUGUAGACUUAGAGAUAAUUAGAUCAAUAAUUCUAGCAUAUUUUAAAUGAAAUGAACUUGCCUAAACUCUUUUGCUGAGAGAUGUUCACCAAAGAUGCUCAAAGUUUCUCCACUAGAAAUGUGUCAAUUUUAUUUGUUCUGGAUUUUUUUAGUUACAUAGAUUCAUUCUAUUGCAGUGUUUAAGUUCCUAGAUGUGAGCUGUUUCCAACAUUUAUAUUGUGUGUAUAUUUUAUACAAAUAAAAGCAAAAAUGAUAGAUAAAUCAAGUGGUAUAAAUCUUACAGCAUUU